rnacentral:lncRNA from 1 species
AAAGCAGCUUUUAUUGAUUUAUUUGCUGGCUGCGUGCUGGCUCCUGCGAAUCUGAGUCCCUGCUCCCGGGCACGGGCUCGACGGGCUCGGCUCAGCUCACGGCAGGGAACACGAGGGGAAGCACAGCAGGGCAAACCAAGCCCCCGCCGGUGUUAAUCCAGCACCCUCCUUCCGCAGGGAAAACUCUCUCAACUGGUUGUGGCAACAGAAUAUCUUCCAUAUCACUUCUGGAAACAGCACACUCAAAUCAAAAUGACUCCAGGAAAGUCGGCAGCUUUCACAGAAGCCAAGCUAAGCCAUGGAAGAUUGUAAUCAGGAAAAGCUACACUUCCUGAUCCACACAAAAGCUACAGGUGUCUACAUCUAACCAGCUCUAGACUACAGGCUGCAAGAUUGAUUGUCUCAGAAAUAACUGCCUGAGCCUGGCACAUCCCAGCCUUACCAUCAUGAAAUACCUGACUGGUGCCCCUAACAUGCCAGGCAUUUAUGUGAACUCCAGACCACCAAUAUCUCAUAUAAUUAACAAUAUUAUUAUUUUGCUCACGGAAUAAACUAAAUUUGCUUCCACAAUAUAUAAAAUUAUUCUGAUGACGAAAGCA